GUCAGGAUGGCCGAGCCGUCUUCAGGUCGCAGUCCACUUCUGUGGGCGUGGGUUCGAGUCCCACUUCUGACA